UUUAUGGAGAGUUUGAUCCUGGCUCAGGAUGAACGCUGGCGGCGUGCCUAAUACAUGCAAGUCGAGCGAACGGACGAGAAGCUUGCUUCUCUGAUGUUAGCGGCGGACGGGUGAGUAACACGUGGAUAACCUACCUAUAAGACUGGGAUAACUUCGGGAAACCGGAGCUAAUACCGGAUAAUAUUUUGAACCGCAUGGUUCAAAAGUAAAAGACGGUCUUGCUGUCACUUAUAGAUGGAUCCGCGCUGCAUUAGCUAGUUGGUAAGGUAACGGCUUACCAAGGCAACGAUGCAUAGCCGACCUGAGAGGGUGAUCGGCCACACUGGAACUGAGACACGGUCCAGACUCCUACGGGAGGCAGCAGUAGGGAAUCUUCCGCAAUGGGCGAAAGCCUGACGGAGCAACGCCGCGUGAGUGAUGAAGGUCUUCGGAUCGUAAAACUCUGUUAUUAGGGAAGAACAUAUGUGUAAGUAACUGUGCACAUCUUGACGGUACCUAAUCAGAAAGCCACGGCUAACUACGUGCCAGCAGCCGCGGUAAUACGUAGGUGGCAAGCGUUAUCCGGAAUUAUUGGGCGUAAAGCGCGCGUAGGCGGUUUUUUAAGUCUGAUGUGAAAGCCCACGGCUCAACCGUGGAGGGUCAUUGGAAACUGGAAAACUUGAGUGCAGAAGAGGAAAGUGGAAUUCCAUGUGUAGCGGUGAAAUGCGCAGAGAUAUGGAGGAACACCAGUGGCGAAGGCGACUUUCUGGUCUGUAACUGACGCUGAUGUGCGAAAGCGUGGGGAUCAAACAGGAUUAGAUACCCUGGUAGUCCACGCCGUAAACGAUGAGUGCUAAGUGUUAGGGGGUUUCCGCCCCUUAGUGCUGCAGCUAACGCAUUAAGCACUCCGCCUGGGGAGUACGACCGCAAGGUUGAAACUCAAAGGAAUUGACGGGGACCCGCACAAGCGGUGGAGCAUGUGGUUUAAUUCGAAGCAACGCGAAGAACCUUACCAAAUCUUGACAUCCUUUGACAACUCUAGAGAUAGAGCCUUCCCCUUCGGGGGACAAAGUGACAGGUGGUGCAUGGUUGUCGUCAGCUCGUGUCGUGAGAUGUUGGGUUAAGUCCCGCAACGAGCGCAACCCUUAAGCUUAGUUGCCAUCAUUAAGUUGGGCACUCUAAGUUGACUGCCGGUGACAAACCGGAGGAAGGUGGGGAUGACGUCAAAUCAUCAUGCCCCUUAUGAUUUGGGCUACACACGUGCUACAAUGGACAAUACAAAGGGCAGCGAAACCG
rnacentral:rRNA from 1 species